rnacentral:rRNA from 1 species
UGGGGGAUAUUGCACAAUGGGCGAAAGCCUGAUGCGGCGACGCCGCGUGGGGGAUGAAGGCCUUCGGGUUGUAAACUUCUUUUGCUCUGAACAAGGCAUGCUAAUGGGUGUGUUGAGUGUAGGGGUUGAUUAGCGCCGGCUAACUACGUGCCAGCAGCCGCGGUAAUACGUAGGGCGCGAGCGUUGUCCGGAAUUAUUGGGCGUAAAGGGCUUGUAGGUGGCUGGUUGCGUCUGUCGUGAAAGCUCAUGGCUUAACUGUGGGUUUGCGGUGGGUACGGGCUGGCUUGAGUGCAGUAGGGGAGGCUGGAAUUCCUGGUGUAGCGGUGGAAUGCGCAGAUAUCAGGAGGAAUACCGGUGGCGAAGGCGGGUCUCUGGGCUGUUACUGACACUGAGGAGCGAAAGCAUAGGGAGCGAACAGG